rnacentral:lncRNA from 1 species
UCUGGGAAUUUUCUGGGUUUCCAGAAACAGGUUUUGUGUUCGGUCAACUAGGUUUGACCGUUCAUAACUUUUGAUCUAGACAAGAUCUGGACUUGUUUCGAGUUGGAGAUUCAAGACCUCAUGGCAUAGAGCAAGUUUAUAACUUAAAACACACAAAACAACUAACACACACGGAUCUAUGGGUCCUGACAUUAGGCUGUCAGACCAUAUUUUUCCCAUUUUCCAAAUUUCUUAAAAUGCCAAAUUCGAGCACUUUGAUGUUAUGGGUUUGUG